rnacentral:lncRNA from 1 species
UUGAUGUGUUGAUUUGAGUGAUUUACCAUGAUUGAAGAGUGUAUGUGAGGAUUGUGAUGAAAUCAUAGAGCAUUGGUUGAAAAGUGUGAGUUACUUGAAAAUGCCUUGCGGGAACUAUUGUGCAAUUGAGUGUUGCUUGCGAGUGGACCAUUGAUCAUCAGGUAAGUCUCACGCAUGUAUGAUUCGAGUAAUCUAAGGAAAAUGCCAAAGUCUUGACACAAAAGCUUGAGGUAAAAGUUGUUUCCUUGAGGACAAGGAAAGGUUUAAGUUUGGGGUUGUGAUGACGGAUCGUCACACUCUCUAAUCCAUGCCUAUUUGAGUGACAUUAGACUCAUUUUAGAGGGUUUUAAGCAAUAAAAUCAAGAGAAAUCAACUCGGAAGCAAGGUUACUUGGAAUACAAGAAAGCAGGAAAUUAUGCAGAAAAAUACAGUUUUGCACUACGCUGGGGGCGUGGUCCAUCACGCGCAGCGUGAUGCUUAUCACAGAGAGACCAAAAACCUGCUUUGAUCACGCGCGGCGUGGGGACUGUCCACGCGCGGCGUGAAACUAUGACCUGAGAAGACUUGCUCACUGACUUAGUCACGCGCGGCGUGAAGGAGAAAAUUGCACUACGCUGGGGGCGUAGCCCAUCUCACGCGCAGCGUAGUGUUAAUUUCAGCAACCACNNN